rnacentral:rRNA from 1 species
CCUACGGGAGGCUGCAGUGGGGAAUAUUGGACAAUGGGGGCAACCCUGAUCCAGCGAUGCCGCGUGAGUGAAGAAGGCCUUUGGGUUGUAAAACUCUUUCCUUGACGAUACGGUAGCAGGAGAAGAAGCACCGGCUAACUCUGUGCCAGCAGCCGCGGUAAGACAGAGGGUGCUAGCGUUGUUCGGAAUGACUGGGCGUAAAGGGCGCGUAGGCUGUUGAUCAAGUUAGGUGUGAAAGCCCCGGGCUUAACCUGGGAACUGCAUUUAAUACUGAUUGACUGGAGAGCGAGAGAGGGAAGCGGAAUUCCUAGUGUAGAAGUGAAAUCUGUAGAUAUUAGGAGGAACACCAGAGGCGAAGGCGGCUUUCUGCCGCAACUGACGCUGAGGCGCGAAAGCGUGGGGAGCAAACAGGAUUAGAUACCCUAGUAGUC